rnacentral:lncRNA from 1 species
AUGUGCAGCGAGGGCGCGAGGCAGGGAGGAAGGGGGGAUCCUGGCCACCCCCUCGGGGCCGCCUGGGGCUCGGUGCCCGCACCACCGGGGGGAUCUCCGAGGGGUUUUGCUGCGCCGCACCCCACGGUGGUGCGGAGGGGCCCAGGGAGGGCAGAGCCCCCCCCGGGACCGGGGUCGUGGGGGUCGGGUCCCGCUGCACGAGGCUGGGGGCACCGGGGCGAGCAGGGGGCUCCGUGCGCCCACCCGUGGGAUGCUCCUGGUUUGACCUCCCCGGCUCAGCCCAGCCCAGCUCCAGCUGCCCCCCGGGACCCCCGCCUCAGCCCCCAGCCCCCCCGGCCCGUGUGCGCCCCCCACACUGACCCCCCCAAGCACAACCCACCCGUGAAGCCGCUCGUUCACCUUCCGCGGGGCAAAGCAGGGGAUCGGGCCGGGGGGGGGGGGCGGGGCGGGGGCGGGGCGGGGGUCCCGGCCGGUCCGGACCCUUCCCCGGCCCGGUGCCCGUCGGGCUGCUCGGGGACGGCUCCCGGGCCCCGCACAGCGGGCUGCGGGCGGCUCGGCGGGGGCUCGGGAUGCCGGAGCCCCCCCAGGACCCCCGUGCGGGGCGGGCCGGGGGCCGGGGCCGCCUCGGCUGUGCCAUCUGCCGGCGGCGGCGCGGGGAGCGCCCCGGGACGGGACGGGACGGGACGGGACCGGGCGGCGGCCACCGGGGGUCGUGGGCGUGGGAGGGAGGCGCUGGGGGGGGGACGCGUGGCCGUGGGUGCGCGCGGGUCCGCGCCCGUGGCUCGGCGGCGCGCCCCGGGGCGUGCACGUGUAAGGGGGGCACACGCGUGUGUGCGGCUGGGGGGGCGCACCCCAGCCCGCGGGGGAGUCCGCGCGUGUGCGGCUCCAAGCGCGGCCCCCCCGGCUCUGGGGAGCCCCGGGACCCCCGGGACCCCCGGGGCUCGGUGUCGGGGUGCGCGGGACCCCCCCCGCGAUCCGGCCGCUCCUGCCCUUAUUUGGGCAUUUCGGCCCCGGCCAAUCAGCUCGGGGGGGCCGGGCCCGACCCCCCCCCCGCCCCGCCCGGACCCCCCCCGCCCCGCCCGGUCCCGCCCGGUGCCGCCGCCGCUCCCCGCUCCGGUGCCCGCUCCGCUGCCGCCGCGCCAUGAGCAGCUCCCAGUUCAACAAGGGGCCGUCCUACGGCCUCUCCGCCGAGGUCAAGAACCGGCUCGCCCAGAAGUACGACCCGCAGAAGGAGGCAGAGCUGCGGACGUGGAUCGAGAGCGUCACCGGGCAGCAGAUCGGGCCGGAUUUCCAGAAGGGGCUGAAGGAUGGAGUCAUCCUCUGCGAGUGAGUCCC